AGAGUUUGAUCCUGGCUCAGGAUGAACGCUGGCGGCGUGCUUAAUACAUGCAAGUCGAACGGAAACAGUAGCAAUAUUGUUUUAGUGGCGAACGGGUGAGUAACGCGUUGGUGACCUGCCCCGAAGAGAGGGAUAACAGUUCGAAAGGAUUGCUAAUACCUCAUGUGGUCAUAUGGUUUAGAAGCUUAUGACUAAACGGAUUUAUUCGCUUCGGGAGGGGCCUGCGUCCCAUCAGCUAGUUGGUAAGGUAAUGGCCUACCAAGGCGAUGACGGGUAGGGGACCUGAGAGGGUGGCCCCCCACAAUGGAACUGAAACACGGUCCAGACUCCUACGGGAGGCAGCAGUGGGGAAUAUUGGGCAAUGGGCGAAAGCCUGACCCAGCAACGCCGCGUG
rnacentral:rRNA from 1 species